AUUGAACGCUGGCGGCAGGCCUAACACAUGCAAGUCGAGCGGAUGAGUGGAGCUUGCUCCAUGAUUCAGCGGCGGACGGGUGAGUAAUGCCUAGGAAUCUGCCUGGUAGUGGGGGACCACGUUUCGAAAGGAACGCUAAUACCGCAUACGUCCUACGGGAGAAAGUGGGGGGUCUUCGGACCUCCCGCUAUCAGAUGAGCCUAGGUCGGAUUAGCUAGUUGGUGAGGUAAAGGCUAACCAAGGCGACGAUCCGUAACUGGUCUGAGAGGAUGAUCAGUCACACUGGAACUGAGACACGGUCCAGACUCCUACGGGAGGCAGCAGUGGGGAAUAUUGGACAAUGGGCGAAAGCCUGAUCCAGCCAUGCCGCGUGUGUGAAGAAGGUCUUCGGAUUGUAAAGCACUUUAAGUUGGGAGGAAGGGCAGUAAGUUAAUACCUUGCUGUUUUGACGUUACCAACAGAAUAAGCACCGGCUAACUUCGUGCCAGCCGCCGCAGUAACAC
rnacentral:rRNA from 1 species